CGGCUGGCGGCAUGCCUUACACAUGCAAGUCGAACGGCAGCACGGGAGCAAUCCUGGUGGCGAGUGGCGAACGGGUGAGUAAUAUAUCGGAACGUGCCCAGUCGUGGGGGAUAACGUAGCGAAAGCUACGCUAAUACCGCAUACGAUCUAUGGAUGAAAGCGGGGGAUCGCAAGACCUCGCGCGAUUGGAGCGGCCGAUAUCAGAUUAGGUAGUUGGUGAGGUAAAGGCUCACCAAGCCGACGAUCUGUAGCUGGUCUGAGAGGACGACCAGCCACACUGGGACUGAGACACGGCCCAGACUCCUACGGGAGGCAGCAGUGGGGAAUUUUGGACAAUGGGCGCAAGCCUGAUCCAGCAAUGCCGCGUGCAGGAUGAAGGCCUUCGGGUUGUAAACUGCUUUUGUACGGAACGAAACGGUGAGCUCUAAUACAGUUUGCUAAUGACGGUACCGUAAGAAUAAGCACCGGCUAACUACGUG
rnacentral:rRNA from 1 species